rnacentral:rRNA from 1 species
UGAGGGGGGCUGCUCCUAGUACGAGAGGACCGGAGUGGACGCAUCACUGGUGUUCGGGUUGUCAUGCCAAUGGCAUUGCCCGGUAGCUAAAUGCGGAAGAGAUAAGUGCUGAAAGCAUCUAAGCACGAAACUUGCCCCGAGAUGAGUUCUCCCUGAGACUUUAAGUCUCCUGAAGGAACGUUAAAGACGAUGACGUUGAUAGGUCGGGUGUGUAAGCGUAGCGAUACGUUGAGCUAACCGAUACUAAUGAACCGUGAGGCUUAACCUUACAACGCCGAAGGUGUUU